CAGAAGUUCAGCAGCAAUGUGUCUGUUGCUUGGGACUUUUGCUUUGAGUUUCUGUUUUCUCUGACACUCUGGAGAACAGGAGACAUGUGGUGUGCCUCAUUUGAAUAGUAUGCUAAAAGAAAUGAUCAGGUUACACCUGUUUAGGUUACACUGCCUAGGGAACCGUUGGAGUCACUUUCCGAGACCUGAAGCUGUAAAACUCCCUUUCUGAGAAGACAAAACAUUACUUUUUAAUGAUACCAGAAACCCGCUGUGCUCUCUGACAACCACUUGCUGUUAUACAGCAUCCUCACAUAUCCCACCAAAAGAGCGUUUGGAGUGAACUAGAUAACAUGGAGAAGGUGCAACAAUGCCUCUUGUCUCUCCAGAAGUAGAAGAAAUGAGCUGGGGAUUUCUCCGUGAUAUUCUAAGUGGGGUGAAUAAAUAUUCAACUGGAAUCGGCAGAAUUUGGCUGGCUAUUGUGUUCAUAUUCCGCCUCCUUGUCUACGUUGUGGCUGCGGAACACGUCUGGAAGGACGAGCAGAAGGAGUUUGAGUGUAACAUUAAGCAACCCGGCUGCGAAAAUGUUUGUUUUGAUCACUUCUUCCCUGUUUCCCAAGUCAGGCUCUGGGCCUUGCAACUGAUUAUGGUCUCCACCCCAUCCCUUCUUGUCGUUCUCCACGUUGCUUAUCGUGAAAAUAGGGAAAAGAGACACAGAACAAAGCUCUACAAGGACCCUGGGAGUAUGGAUGGAGGAUUGCUAUGCACCUAUCUAAUCAGCCUCCUUUCCAAAACAGGAUUUGAAAUUGGUUUCCUCUUUUUGUUUUACAAGCUCUAUGGCGGAUUCAACGUCCCCCGCCUUGUGAAAUGUAACAUGAGUCCGUGUCCCAACACUGUUGACUGUUACAUAUCCAAGCCCACUGAGAAGAAAGUCUUCCUCUAUAUUGUGGUGGUGACUUCUUGCUUAUGCAUAGUCUUAAAUGUCAUUGAAUUCAGCUAUUUGAUUUUCAAAUAUUCCAUCAAAUGUUGUUUCAAGAAUUAUAUCAAGAAGGCUCAGGACUCCAAAAGUGAGCACAAGAAGUUGAAUUCUACAGAUCACAAUGGGACAGUCUUGUAUUUUGGGAGUGAUUUGGACACAGUCUUUGAUAUCCAUGGAACAGAAGUCAAUACCCAGCCCAGCAGCCAACGUGAAGAAUAAAAGCACAUGUUAAAAAGAAAACAUGUUGGCGACUUUAAAAAUGGGCCCUGAGAAAAUACUAUGACAGCUCAAGGACUUUAACCUGGAGGUUAUUUCCCCCCACAAAUGAAAUUAAUUAAGGUUCAGAAUAUUAAGGAGCCAGUGUGAUGUAGUGGUUUGAGCAUUGGAGUAGGACUCUAGAGAUGAGGGUUCAUCCCCACUCAACCAUGGAAACCUACUGAGUGACCUUGGUUAAGGCACAUUCUCCCAGCCUCAAAGGAAGGCAAAAGCAACCCCUCCCAACACAUCUUGCUGGAAAAACUGUGAUAGGGUCACUAUACGUUGGAAAUGACUUGAAGGCACACAGCAUAGUGACCCUCUUCUAAAUCAAUGUGUAAACAUUUGAUGCUUAUCACAGAAAACAUUGAAAAGGCCAGUAAUUUAGGCAUCUGCUUCCAUUUCAAAGAGGUUUUUUUUGUCUUCAAAGACUUAAAAGCCACCCUGUUGAAAUUUCCUUUUUCCUCCAGGAAUAGGAAGCUGUUGUCUCUGCUGGUGGCCCAUUGGCUUUGUCAUCAUGAGUUGAGGCAUUCUCUGUGACACUCAGGGGUCCCCAAAUUUUUGCAGUGGAAGCCCCUGCAUUCUCCUCUAACUACAAAUGUCAGGGGCUCCUGAUAAAUUCUUCAAGAGAAGUGUAUAGUACUGCACAUGCAAGCUUUACAAGAUGGUAGAAAAAACUACUUCUCUUCCCGAGGGGCAUUACUAAAGGGACAGAAGUUCCUACAUAACCACCUAUCCCCCACCAGUUUGCAGUGGCUAAUCCUUUGUGUUUUCCAGAUGGAAUUAAUGGGAAGCUCUUUGAGAAGAUGCAGUCAUUGACUACCCCCUUGAUAAUGUUUAUUAUUAGUACGUAUUAUAUAUAACAGAAUAUUUAUAGGGACAAGGGAUAAGAUCCAGUCUUUUGAUUGGUAAGAAAGUGGACAAAAGAAUGGGUGUUCAGCCUUUUAGAAAUGGGCAGCAGCCCAUCUGAAAGAAUAGGUGUGGAGGCUACCUGAACCCCCAGUUUUGUUAAUGACUUAUGAAUAGCACAGUUGCAGCCAGGGCAGUUUUUAUUAAGGUACACAGUUAAGUUCCUGUUGGAUCACUACCGGGUGUGCGUGUUAAGAGGAAAAGGCUCACCCUGAUUGAUUGCAAACCACAAGUUGAGUACGUAAUUAAGAUCAAUCAGUUUGGGCCACUCUGGGGUAUAACCGAGGAGUGUUUGUCCUAUGUUUUGGGCUUACUAAAUGUUUGCUCCUGGGCUUGCUGAAUCCUUGCUACUUGGUAUAAGCUCCUGACUUGCAGUUUAUCUUCAUGUCCAAGUAAGGAACAUUGAAAGAGACCUAUUUUCUACUGGAAGAAUUUCAUGAAUAAAAUCCAUGUUCUAUAUGUAAGUGCAAUACUCAGAAGAACUGUGACUGUAUUAUUGGUUUGUGUUGAAGUUGCUAUUUUCUUGAACUCUGCUUAUACAAGAGUAAAUUUGAGUUUUGCAUUCUUC